UACGAAGGGGGCUAGCGUUACUCGGAAUUACUGGGCGUAAAGCGUGCGUAGGCGGUUCGUUAAGUCUGUUGUGAAAGCCCCGGGCUCAACCUGGGAAUGGCAAUGGAUACUGGCGAGCUAGAGUGUGUCAGAGGAUGGUGGAAUUCCCGGUGUAGCGGUGAAAUGCGUAGAGAUCGGGGAGGAACAUCAGUGGCGAAGGCGGCCAUCUGGGACAACACUGACGCUGAGGCACGAAAGCGUGGGGAGCAAACAGGG
rnacentral:rRNA from 1 species